rnacentral:lncRNA from 1 species
GUGCAAGAUUCUGUCUGAUCCAUUACACAAAAAGAAGGUUGUUUUCUAUAUAAACAGUGUAUGGUUUUCCUUUAACAUUUGUCCGCGACCGGAUUAAUUCAUGUUGCCGCUAAGAUGCAACGCACUUCAACUAUAUAGUUGAUAAGUAACACAGACAUACAAACUGUAUUUAUCUUUUAUACUUAUAAUGUCUUGCCUCUUACUAUUUUAUAAAUACUUGUGGUAUUUCAUGUAUCUCUACAAAUUUCUGACGUGUUCUAAAAGUGUACAAUUUUUUUUAGUUUCUUAUACCUCAAAUUUAUGUUAUCUCGACAGAAUUCAUUAAUACAUUUUUUUGUGAAAGCAGUUGUUUACCCUAUAUCAAGUUUAAAAAGAAAGGCUUAUGGUCUCAUUUCUCGAGGAGGGAGUUUCGUUUUAAGCAAGUCCAUUUACAAUUUCAAUUAGUAAACACUUAUUGUUCCGCAGCUCUGAUACAUACAACAUAAAUUGGACUCAAAAGAAGCACAAGGUUUCUUUGUUGCAGAUCGAAUCAUUGUUUUUUUUUUUUUUUAAUUUUACUUUUCUGAUGUUUUGAAUACAAAUACUCUAUUGGUCAAUUAUACUGAUUCCUUUUAUAAAACACGCACUUAGGGAUAAACCCCUUGGUUAUAAAUGGA